UACGUAGGAGGCGAGCGUUGUCCGGAUUUACUGGGCGUAAAGCGCGCGCAGGCGGCACACUAAGUACGAUGUGAAAUCUCCCUGCUCAACGGGGAGGGUGCAUAGUAAACUGGUGAGCUAGAGGACGGUAGAGGGGGGUGGAAUUGCUGGUGUAGCGGUGAAAUGCGUAGAGAUCAGCAGGAACACCCGUGGCGAAGGCGGCCCCCUGGGCCGAACCUGACGCUGAGGAGCGAAAGCGUGGGGAGCGAACAGG
rnacentral:rRNA from 1 species